rnacentral:rRNA from 1 species
ACGUAGGGGGCAAGCGUUAUCCGGAAUUACUGGGUGUAAAGGGAGCGUAGGCGGCACGCCAAGCCAGAUGUGAAAGCCCGAGGCUUAACCUCGUGGAUUGCAUUUGGAACUGGCGAGCUAGAGUACAGGAGAGGAAAGCGGAAUUCCUAGUGUAGCGGUGAAAUGCGUAGAUAUUAGGAAGAACACCAGUGGCGAAGGCGGCUUUCUGGACUGAAACUGACGCUGAGGCUCGAAAGCGUGGGGAGCAAACAG